GUGGUGGCGGCGGGUUUUUACCGUUUCCUCCGCCUUGAGCCGGCCGAAGCAGAACGGUGUCAGGUCGGCUACACCAC
rnacentral:sRNA from 12 species